rnacentral:rRNA from 1 species
UACGGGGGGAGCAAGCGUUGUUCGGAUUUACUGGGCGUAAAGGGCGCGUAGGCGGUCGUGACAAGUCACUUGUGAAAUCUCCGGGCUUAACUCGGAAAGGUCAAGUGAUACUGUCGGACUAGAGUACAGAAGGGGCAACUGGAAUUCUCGGUGUAGCGGUGAAAUGCGUAGAUAUCUGGAGGAACACCGGUGGCGAAGGCGGCUUUCUGGACAAAUACCGACGCUGAGGCACGAAAGCUAGGGGAGCAAACAGG